AGCCCCGUAGUGUAUUUCAUAUAAGAUUGCAAAUCUUAAGAAACAGAAUAAAUUCUGUCCGGGCUU
rnacentral:tRNA from 1 species